GCUAUGACAAGUACCGGGUGUGAGAGCAUGACCCGGCUCACUGGGACUGAGACACUGCCCAGACUCCUACGGGAGGCUGCAGUCAAGAAUAUUCCCCAAUGCACGCAAGUGUGAGGGAGCGACGCCGCGUGGUUGAAGAAGCCCUUCGGGGUGUAAAAACCUUUUCUCUGGGAAGAACAAAUGACGGUACCAGAGGAAUAAGGGGCUGCUAAACUCGUGCCAGCAGCAGCGGUAAUACGAGUGCCCCAAGCGUUAUCCGGAUUUAUUGGGCGUAAAGCGUCUGUAGGCUGUUUGAUGCGUCUUCUGUUAAAUCCUGAAGCUCAACUUCGGGGCUGCAGAAGAUACGAUUAAACUAGAGGCCGGUAGAGGCAAGCGGAAUUGCUGGUGUAGGGGUUAAAUCCAUUAAUAUCAGCAAGAACACCUAAAGCGAAAGCAGCUUGCUGGAACGCGCCUGACGUUGAAAGACGAAAGCGUGGGUAGCGAAUGGGAUUAGAUACCCCAGUAGUCCACGCCGUAAACGAUGGAUGCUAAGUAUUGGCAGUAUCGACCCUGCCAGUGCUGUUUACCUAAGGUAACCCGUUAAGCAUCCCGCCUGGGGAGUACGGCCGCAAGGCUAAAACUCAAAGGAAUAGACGGGGAUCCGCACAAGCGGUGGAGCAUGUGGUUUAAUUCGAUAAUAAGCGAUGAACCUCACCAGGGUUUGACAUCUAGCUGCAUACCCUAGAAAUAGGGAGUCUUUCGAAGGUGCUAGACAGGUGCUGCAUGGUUGUCGUCAGCUCGUGUCGUGAGAUGUACCGUUAAGUCGGGAAACGAGCGCA
rnacentral:rRNA from 1 species